AAUAUUGGACAAUGGGCGAAAGCCUGAUCUAGCCAUGCCGCGAGUGUGAAGAAGGUCUUCGGUUUGUAAAGUACUUUAAGUUGGGAGGAAGGGCAGUAAGCACAUACCUUGCUGUUUUGACGUUACCGACAGAAUAAGCACCGGCUAACUCUGUGCCAGCAGCCGCGGUAAUACAGAGGGUGCCAGCGGUAAUCGGAAUUACUGGGCGGAACGCGCGGGUAGGUGGUUCGUUAAGUUGGAUGUGAAAUCCCCGGGCUAAACCUGGGAACUGCAUCCAAAACUGGCGAGCUAGAGUAGGGCAGAGGGUGGUGGAAUUUCCUGUGUAGCGGUGAAAUGCGUAGAUAUAGGAAGGAACACCAGUGGCGAAGGCGACCACCUGGGCUCAUACUGACACUGAGGUGCGAAAGCGUGGGGAGCAAAC
rnacentral:rRNA from 1 species